rnacentral:rRNA from 1 species
GAAAUCGUACCCCAAACCGACACAGGUGGUCAGGUAGAGAAUACCAAGGCGCUUGAGAGAACUCGGGUGAAGGAACUAGGCAAAAUGGUGCCGUAACUUCGGGAGAAGGCACGCUGACACGUAGGUGAAGUGAUUUACUCAUGGAGCUGAAGUCAGUCGAAGAUACCAGCUGGCUGCAACUGUUUAUUAAAAACACAGCACUGUGCAAACACGAAAGUGGACGUAUACGGUGUGACGCCUGCCCGGUGCCGGAAGGUUAAUUGAUGGGGUCAGCGCAAGCGAAGCUCCUGAUCGAAGCCCCGGUAAACGGCGGCCGUAACUAUAACGGUCCUAAGGUAGCGAAAUUCCUUGUCGGGUAAGUUCCGACCUGCACGAAUGGCGUAAUGAUGGCCAGGCUGUCUCCACCCGAGACUCAGUGAAAUUGAACUCGCUGUGAAGAUGCAGUGUACCCGCGGCAAGACGGAAAGACCCCGUGAACCUUUACUAUAGCUUGACACUGAACAUUGAGCCUUGAUGUGUAGGAUAGGUGGGAGGCUUUGAAGUGUGGACGCCAGUCUGCAUGGAGCCGACCUUGAAAUACCACCCUUUAAUGUUUGAUGUUCUAACGUGGACCCGUAAUCCGGGUUGCGGACAGUGUCUGGUGGGUAGUUUGACUGGGGCGGUCUCCUCCUAAAGAGUAACGGAGGAGCACGAAGGUUGGCUAAUCCUGGUCGGACAUCAGGAGGUUAGUGCAAUGGCAUAAGCCAGCUUGACUGCGAGCGUGACGGCGCGAGCAGGUGCGAAAGCAGGUCAUAGUGAUCCGGUGGUUCUGAAUGGAAGGGCCAUCGCUCAACGGAUAAAAGGUACUCCGGGGAUAACAGGCUGAUACCGCCCAAGAGUUCAUAUCGACGGCGGUGUUUGGCACCUCGAUGUCGGCUCAUCACAUCCUGGGGCUGAAGUAGGUCCCAAGGGUAUGGCUGUUCGCCAUUUAAAGUGGUACGCGAGCUGGGUUUAGAACGUCGUGAGACAGUUCGGUCCCUAUCUGCCGUGGGCGCUGGAGAACUGAGGGGGGCUGCUCCUAGUACGAGAGGACCGGAGUGGACGCAUCACUGGUGUUCGGGUUGUCAUGCCAAUGGCACUGCCCGGUAGCUAAAUGCGGAAGAGAUAAGUGCUGAAAGCAUCUAAGCACGAAACUUGCCCCGAGAUGAGUUCUCCCUGAGACUUAGAGUCUCCUGAAGGAACGUUGAAGACGACGACGUUGAUAGGCCGGGUGUGUAAGCGCAGCGAUGCGUUGAGCUAACCGGUACUAAUGAACCGUGAGGCUUAACCUUACAACGCCGAAG